AUGAACGCUGACAGAAUGCUUAACACAUGCAAGUCGAUGGGGAAGUGGUGCUUGCACCAUGGUAACCAUGGCGGACGGGUGAGUAACGCGUAAGGAACUUACCUGCGGGACCGGGAUAGCAGCAGGAAACUGCUGACAAGACCGGAUAAGGUCAUUAAGCUGCAUAGCUUAGUGAUGAAAGGAGACGCCUGCGGAGAGCCUUGCGUCCUAUUAGCUAGUUGGAGGGGUAACGGCCCACCAAGGCGAAGAUAGGUAGCCGGCCUGAGAGGGUGGACGGCCACAAGGGGACUGAGAUACGGCCCUUACUCCUACGGGAGGCAGCAGUGGGGAAUAUUGGACAAUGGGGGCAACCCUGAUCCAGCAAUUCUGUGUGCACGAAGACGGUUUUCGGAUUGUAAAGUGCUUUCAGCAGGGAAGAAGGAAGUGACGGUACCUGCAGAAGAAGCGACGGCUAAAUACGUG
rnacentral:rRNA from 1 species